ensembl:lncRNA
GCCAGUGGCAAAAUUAGAUAACAUCAGAAAAUAAUUCCUAGGUACAAAACAGAACUAGAAAGUGAACUUUUUUUUAGCAAAUGUUUAUUUAUAUCAAAAUACAAAACAUUUCUGAAGCAGAGUAAUGUUACAUGAGGAGCAAUUUAAAUACUAAACUUCUUUUACUUAGCUUAACUCGAGACACUCCCCAGGGCACCUUCACUGGCUACACAUCUUGUCAUUUGACAUGCCGCUUUUUCUCGCUCUUGGUUCACUCAUGUACUUGUUAGCUCAUUUUGAUUUUUAAUUCAGGGUAUGAACAUGCAGUGUUACUGACAAUGAGUUGGUUAGUAUUCAGCAAGCCUGAAAAUACCAGUGAGUGGAGCCUGGCACAGCAGUCUGACCCAAGCAGACUGCAAAUUCUCUCCCUAAUUGAGUUUGGGGUGUCAGUUUUUAAGUGGCAAGUCCAAGGCCAAAGGAAUCACUGUCAUUGGUAACCAGGGCAGGCAUUAUUGCUCAGGGCCACAGAGCAGUGUAGCGUAGGGGUCAUCUCCAGGGAGGUCUUCUCUGUGGGCUAGGAAGGAGCAAGAUAGCCAAUGGUAGCCCAGCUGGAGAGUGGCAGCUACAGCAGAUCCAGGCCCAGGAAGGGGAGAUGCAGGGACCCUGCAGGAGGAGCUCUCUUCCUCAAAACCCAAGUAAGGGCUGGGGAGAAGAAAGGUUCCUCCUAGUCCUGGCAGUCUGAUUUGGUGGCCAGAGAUGCCUGCCCCUUGGAUGGGGCCUUUAGAAGUGCUUAGCAUUUGGAGAUUUUGAAGAAGAAGCACCCAGCUAAGAAUGUAGCUAUUUCCAGUAUACCUCCACUCCCUGACAGAGAAGAAACAGGAGACAGGAAAUGGGAGGGAGUGUGCCCCCUCAUCCCAAUUGUCCCACUCCCGGGGCCCACCCGGGUCUCCCUUUCAAGCCCCAGUUGGUGCAUUCACUUUGGCAUUGUGCACCUGUAUGCUCAUGCAUACACAUUUGCACACACACAAACAUACACAUGUGUACACACAUGCCACACACACCCAAGCACCUGGUUUCCUUCCCAUAUCUGCUCAGGUAGCAGAACCAGGCCCCAUCUCCACCAUCACCCUCUGCUCCUGGGGUCCCCUGGGCCCACUGGUACCCAAGACCCCAGGCUUGGCAUACACUGGCAUUUCCAGGCUUUGAGAAGAGGGUGAUGGAGCAAGGAGUGCCCCAGACACAGGUUAUACAGAGUGUAGAAUGUUUGUAUAAGGCUUAGGUACAGCACCGAUUUAAUGUUUUGUAGUUUGAUUUCUAAGUUAUCUUUUAGAAGAAAAAAAAAGCUUACUGAAAAAAUAGUGUUUUUAUUUACUUUUGAGUUACAUACCUGAAGUUCAAAAAGUAAGCCUCUAGUCACCAUCCAAAUUCACACUCAAAAGUGUUCUGUACGCAGCUAUACAACAUGUUGGUUUGUCUUUAAUUUGGAACCAAAGUCAGCCAACCAGUCAAUACCAUGAAGUCAGCUACUCAUGAUAACUGACUUUUACCAGUUCAUUCAUACACAAAAGAAAGAGAGAGAAAACACAAAUCUACUCCCAAGUCACCCACCCCAAAUCGCUAUGGGGGAAAAAAAGAAGACGAAAUACAGCAAGAUCUAAAGAACCAGUGGGAGGAGCCAGUUCCACCCUGCUGGCCUCUCAGACAGCACCAUAAAGCACCCUAGUGUGGUGAUGAGAUAAUACUCGACAUUCAAGAAAUGGAAAUGAGGUUUGGAUAGUCUUCACAUGAAGACCUGGUAUGAAUGGGGGAAGCCCCAAAGAAAGCUGAAGGAAGAAAAGAGAGUUCGAAAUGAGAGCAAGAAAUCUCAUGACGAAACCAAGAGUCAAUCCAGACUUGUUAGAAAAGAACCAAAAGAAGGAGGCUGCCAGGCAUCUGAAGGUCUGAAGUCUGCUAGGAGCCCUGGGGAGGGCGGUGGGAGCUGCCCCUCCUGAAGCACUCUUCACCCCUACCCUCUGCAUGUCUGUAGAACUCAGGGCGAUGAGAGGUGGGAAACAGAACUGCCUCCUUAUGUGCGAUGGAAGAAGCACGUCCAGGAUGGCACAGUCCCUCCAGGUGGGAGAGCGUAAGUGGGUAACAGGGCUGAGAGAUGCUCACAUGAGCAGGAGGCCAUCCCUCCCCAUCAGGCUAUGGACAAGAACAGGCAACUGGUGGCGUACACCUCGUCCAUGGCCUCCAUCUCUGGCCCCACAAACAGCAGUUAGGAAAUUAAAUCUAAAUGGAACUUGAAGGCUUUCUCACUCUGAUGGAUACAACUUAGUAAGUGGAGCGUCAGAUCUACCCUUCCCCUCCCCACUCCUCAUCUCAAGUUCUAGCAUCCGCAUCAUCCCACAGAGCAAGUCCUCCCCAUCCAGCUUCACAGUGUGCAACAGCAGGGACCCCUGCCCAAAGGCACAGCCACUUCCUCACCCACGGAAGUGCUGUGCAGGCGCGACUGUGCCCUCACCACCCACUUUUAUUUUGUCCAAGGCAGUUCCAAGGACAAUGGGCAAGCCCUUCCCUCUUGCCUAGCUCCCUGUUGAUAAUGAUGUGGAAGAGAACAGUGCCCACACUGAUCCUUGGGAGAGCAACUCCAAGCAGACCUAUCUACUCCACACUGCUUCCAUGUAACAGACAGAGGUAGCUUAACUAGAACAACUCUACAGAUUCUCUCAACCUCCUACCAAAAAGAAAAGCACCAAAAUUCCAUAUCCCUUCCACUAUCUAGGGACCAAGGAAUAAGUAACAGCAUAGGGGGCAGCUCAGAUCCCUGGUAGUGGCUGUAGGCCUCAAAAGCUUCAUCACCAGACCCCUCCCACCCACCUGUCCCAUUAAUUGAGAGGUUCAAAAAUAGAGUAUCUUGCUUACUCCACACAGUCAGAUCCCGAUCCCCUCUGCUCCACAUGCCUUUGUGAAAGGAUGGCUCUUCUGAGAAAUGGGAGAUUGAUGCUGGGAUAUCUGUCCUUUCCCCUCCAAUGCCCAGCCUUGCACCCUCUUUCUGGGAGAUGUCAAGGAAAGGGCAUAGGUAAGUAACACUUCCUGUCCAGGCUCCAAAAUUUCAAGGUCCUUGUCUUCCCUGUUUUCUCCCAAAUAAAGCAUCCACUUGACACUGAGAAAUGCGAUGACAAUGUGCAGGGUCUCCCAAUCUCAUGCACCUUGGUGCUGCUGAGGUUUCUAAGGAUCAAGCCUUUGGCUCAAUGUGGAGAGAGAUGGAAUGUUGAGGAACUCUGGACCUCAUGGAGGAUGAGCCCUUUGAGGUGACUGUGUGCUGAACUGGCUGACUCUGCAGCUUACAUGUGACCAGGAACAGGACAGAGUCUCCAGAGAAAGAGAAAAGAUUGGCUCUAAGAGCCAAAAGCAUAGUCAUGGAAACCCCUCUUUGGUAGCUCAGUAGAGGGUGCAAGCUGGGGAGGGACCUAGAAUUCGCUGCUCUUCCUCUUGCUCCACCUCCCAGAAAAUCUUAUAAGAAAUACCUGGCUGCAUCUUCUCCUGGCCUCCUGGGGAGGAUAUGGGAAAGAUCAGUCACCUAUCAGUUGCAGCCAGAAUUGGAGCCCUCCCAGUACUGCAUGAACAGGCCUGUUCUCCUGUGAUGUCUGUGGACAAUAGGAAAUGUUUUGAACACACAAUCGUGGAGCCCCAAGAACAGUGUCCUAAUGAAUGGCAGGGCCAUAUAAGAUCCAGUAAGAAUCAGAAGUUAGAUGCAAGCUCUACCCCAACCUCCUCUUCUCAUAACACUCCUCAAAAGCAAAAAAGAGCCCUUCCCGGGAUUGAGGCAUCUGAGAUCCUCAAAUGGUCAAAUCCACAGACAAGAGCUCUUGGAGAACAUCACAUUUUGGUUGGGAAAGACGGGCUAGCAUUGCCGUAUUUUGAGUUUCAAGCAGAAAUAAGAGAUGAGUGACUGUAGUCAUGAGACUCCCCAGAAUCCCUGCACCAUCUGGCCCUGCACCAGCUUCAAACACAUUGUUCUGAGCACUUAGCAAGUCAGAAGGAAGAACUAGCACCAGGAGCUGCAUGCCGAGGCUACAAGGCAUGUUGCCUUUGCAGCAUAUAUGAGGUCUUGAAUUCUCAGAGAGGUAUCCUUCAGCCCACACACACUUUGCUGCUCAAACUCAAGUGGACCCUCCCGCCAGAAUCUCCCAUUCUUGGUCACAUUUGUCCAAUACGUUGUUCAGUUCUGUAAGUCCCCAAGUGGGUACCAGAAGGAAGGUCCCAGGAAGACCCAUCCUCCCGGAUCUGCCCAAAGUUAAUCUCUUAUUUCUGACUAUCCACUCAUUGUCCCAGGACUGGACCAUCCCAUUUCCAACAGCAUUUUAUUUUCAAAUUAAAAAUAAAUGAAAAUAGCAUCAAUGACAUAUUUAUACUAGAUAUUACAUUCACACUGGUUCCAAAAAUCUGCAGUGAUAAUCCCCAGGGUAUCUCUUUUCCAAGCCUGGGCUCACACAGUCAGCCUUGCAAACUCUCUCACUGCCAUACCGCCAAGAGUUGCUUAAGCCCAGGUGCUACAAGCCAGGACAGCCAUAGUUAUCAUGACCAUCCCCUUUCCCAGCUGCUGAGCUGGAUUCCUUCCAAGGAGCUGGAUACCAAGCGCAGCCAUACAGGGAUGCUCUGUGGCACUUCCAGCUCUCCAGCACCCCCACGAGAUCAAGCAUCUCACCACAGUGACCCUUCCCAGUGCCAAGAGGUACUUGGACCAGAGUUUUCUGGGGUCGUCAAUCCCAUAACUCGCCCACAACCUUCAGCUCACUUGUCCUUCUACAAGUGAGUUCUUUGUUUAAUUUUAAAGUUUUUUCAUAUAUACACAUUUCUGUGAGAAAGACCCAAGCAUCUCUGAACAUAGACUGUAACCCAGGAAGGACAGAGAGGGAGGCGGCAUCAAGGCAUGAGCUAGUUUCCCAGACUGCUUGGGAAGGUGACACUGCUCAAAGCAUCUCUAAGCACAGGUACAAAAAUAAAGCAAACUAUGACUUCAUAGAUAUAUAGAUAAGCUAGCUAGACAGACUUUAUAUAGGUUUUCCUUAUAUUUAUAUAUGUGUGCAGGGGCACAGGCCCCAUGCAUCCAGCCCAGCUUGCGUCUCUGGCUUGUCCAGUCCCACUCUGUGUGGACCACUCGCCUGAGGCUCCCAGUGUAAGUCACUACUAUUGCAUCUGAUCCUCACCCCCCAACAUAAGUUCCCCGUCUCCUUAAAAUAGAACACAUUAUAUGUAUUUAUAUAAUUGUAUAUACAAUCUCCAUAAAAAAUACACCCAAGAUGGUGUAUUACUAAUGUGACCCUCCUACCAAAACAGAAGUUGUCCAGCAAAGAAAGAGCCAACAAAAAAGAGGGUCACCUAUGCCUGAUGCUAUCCAGGCAAAGCAGUGUGUCCCUACCAAUCUCUUAUGCACACACAACAGGCACACACACACACACACACACACACACAAACACACACAGGUUCCAUGCACACACAACAGACUCUCGCACACACCCACAACACACAUUUCCUGAAUCCAGGAAAGGAACACUAGAAUAAACAGCUGGCGGGGUUAGAGACCAGGGAGAUGCCUAGUACCUGCAGAAAGACAGGUAAGGGAAUCCCAUUCCACUGACCCAGCCAAGGACAAUGUCAACUCAUGACAGGCCUCUCAUUGUCCACAGUAGGCAACAGAAAUACUCAUUGGUAGAGUUUCCCUUUUGAGGACUGCAAGAUGAUCAGGAGGGUUCGUCCCCUCACCAGAUACAAGGUUUCAUAGAUUCCCUAAGCCAGAAGGACAUAUAAUGCCCCCAGGUCCUCAUCAUAGACAUGAGGGGGCACUGGGCACUGGCCCCUUCCAUCUACUUAGGUGAAACCCCAAACACAGCCCAAAGCAUGCUUGCAGUAUUGCUAAGGCUGAAAAUGCAAACACC